AGUGCUUUUAAUUUUCAGACCAACCAAACAUUUUUAAUAUAAAAACAUUUUGAUAAUAUACAAACAGCAAUCACAACAGCAUCCACAUGGCAGCAAGGGGACCAGGGCACAGAGAGGGGGAGCGGGCUGGGGAGGGACAGUUUUCAGGGUCCCAGUUGCUUCCCUGGCUUGAAAUCACCCUGGUCCUAGCAGAGGACAGGUUAAGGCUGCCAGAGGCAGAGGGUCCCUGACCCUGGCCCGGAGACAGACUGCCCAGGCAGGCCCUCUGAUACCAUCUUCCAACCAUGGCAGCCUCCAGGAAAAGCCAGAUCCAUUUAGGAGAUAACAGGAAGGUGGCUGUGAUUGACAGGAAAGGCAACAUGGUUCCUCAGCAUCCUGCUGAUCACACCUCUGGGAGGGGCUGCUGGAUUGAAGAGGACUAAGAAUCUUCCUGGGAGCAGGACAGAAAUGGGAUCUAAGUCUACCUACUAACUAAGAUUCCCGCCUGUGACACCAGAAAGCUGGAGUGGAUCUGCUCAGAUGUACAAGAAGAGAAAGGAAUGACAAAGCCUUUGGCUCAGCAGGAGUGGAGCCUUGACAGGCACUGACCAAGAAAGCCUCUAGGUGGGCCAGGGAGGUCUGUGGGAAAGCUUUGGAUCAAUGGUACUCAAGGGUGCACAGUGGCACAGUGGUCUUAGGUAGAAUUUAUGAAGACGAAAAGAACACAAGUCAGAAUUUAGAACUGAAGUAACUGCUUCUUAUAGGCCAGUAGAGGAAAAGCGAGAUCAUCCUUCUGGCCAGGACUAGGGAAGACCCAAGGCCUGUUCUUUCCUAGGGGCUGAGUUUGACAGACCUGGAUGCAGCUGAUGGCCCCCAAAGUCCUCUAGAUGGGCCCUGCAGGACUCGCUGGGAGGCCUGGUUGCCCCUCCCGGUGUGCUGGGACACUCUGGGUUCCUGCAGUUAGAUGCAGUCCAUGGAGUUCUCAGGAAGGAGGCCAGGGAUGCAGCCAGGGAGGCCCAGGCCCUUGAUAGGAGUGCAGUUGAGUGGGAGGCCGCAGCCCAGGGAGGGGUCCUGGGUCUCUAUGGCCUCCAGCCUGUCCAUGUUGUUGUCCCAGUUGAUAUGGAAGCGGGUCACCCGGGGGUUUGAGGCCAAGAUGUUCCGCUGGAGCUGGGGCAGGAAGAGGAACGUCAACCCUUGUAGGUACGCCCUCUCCUUGCUCCCAUAGAGCCAGGACACCCCCAAUCACCCAUCUCAAGCCCAGCAAGAGCAACCUACAUAUGGAACUCCAGAAAACACCUGUGGCCAGGACCUUAUUUAUUUAUUUUUUGAGACGGAGUUUUGCUUUUGUUGCCCAGGCUGGAGUGCAAUGCUGUGAUCUCGUCUCACUGCAACCUCUGCCUUCCAGGUUCAAGCGAUUCUCUUGCCUCAGCCUCCUGUGUAGCUGGGACUACAGGUGCAAGGCACCAUACCUGGCUCAUUUUCGUAUUUUUAGUAGAGACGGGCUUUCACCAUGUUAGCCAGGCUGGUCUCAAACUCCUGACCUCAG
rnacentral:lncRNA from 1 species